rnacentral:rRNA from 1 species
UACGUAGGGCGCGAGCGUUGUCCGGAUUCAUUGGGCGUAAAGAGCUCGUAGGCGGUUCGGUUAGUCAGAUGUGAAAACUCCGGGCUCAACUCGGAGAGGCCAUCUGAUACUGCCGUGACUAGAGUUCGGUAGAGGAGUGUGGAAUUCCCGGUGUAGCGGUGAAAUGCGCAGAUAUCGGGAGGAACACCAGCGGCGAAGGCGGCACUCUGGGCCGACACUGACGCUGAGGAGCGAAAGCGUGGGGAGCGAACAGG